GAGGAAUUUUCCGCAAUGGGCGCAAGCCUGACGGAGCAAUACCGCGUGGAGGAUGAAAGCCUAUGGGUUGUAAACUCCUUUUCUUAGAGAAGAAGUUCUGACGGUAUCUAAAGAAUAAGCAUCGGCUAACUCCGUGCCAGCAGCCGCGGUAAUACGGGGGAUGCAAGCGUUAUCCGGAAUCAUUGGGUGUAAAGCGUCUGUAGGUUGUUUGUUUAAGUCAGUUGUUAAAUUUCAGAACUCAAUUUUGAUAACGGCAACUGAAACUAAUAAGCUAGAGUCAAGUAGAGGUAGAAGGAACUCCGAGUGUAGUGGUGAAAUGCGUAGAUAUUCGGAAGAACACCGAUGGCGAA
rnacentral:rRNA from 1 species